AUAGGUAAACAAGUGUCAUGGUGAUUUGCUGCACAGAUCAACCCAUCACCUAGGUAUUAAGCCAAAUGUGUCUUUAUCUCUAUUCUUCCCUUCUGCCACAGGAGAUUAGUCUCUUCCCCAUUUGCUUUUGAUUCUAUUCCCUCCUAGCCCUUCUUAGAUUUUGUUCCAACAGUUUUUUCAAUUUUUCUCUCUCUUCCCAGGUAAUUCUCUCUUGAACUCAGACUAUAAACAUUCCAGAUUCUUCUGGAAUGCCCCCAGAAAGGGUUGUCCCUCUCCCAGUCUUAAUUUCCCACAAACUGCUGCUCCACAUUUUCCUUGCUUCACUGUGAAGCUUUUAGAAAGAGUAGCCUGUACUCCUUUCUGUUGCUUCUUGUCAACCACUUCCACUUCCACACAACCCAGUUUGGGUUUAUUUUUCUAUCACUGACCAGAAACGGCUCCCAACAAACGUAACCAGAGAGGUCUCAGUACCAUCAGGUUCCCAGGAUUAUCUGCUGCGUUGCUCAGCCAUCCUUAGCUGAUGCUCCAGAGCCCAGGACAGCUACUUAUGCUCCAAUUCAUUGCUGUGGCAGCAGGAAAAAGAAAACUACAAGGAAAGGGAUAUCUCUUCUCUUGAAGGACAGGUCUGAUCCAUGGUGCUAAGGAUCUGAAGUGUGAAGUAAGACCUGCUCACAGUGAAGGACCCUGAGAGGGCAGAGCCAUGUGAUGGAAUGAGCCAUGAUCCCUGAGUCCUCACCUCAGGGAGAGAUGUGCAGAAGAGCCACCCAAGUGGUGAUGUGCUGGCUGCUUUUAGGCAACCAACGUGAUGUCACUGAACACAGUUUGGAAUGGAUGCACAUAAUCAGUUCUCAUGAUCCAGGAUGAACCAGCCCUAGCAUACCACUGCCCCUAACCCACAUAUAACUGUGUCAUCAUUUAAAAAUAAACAUAUUGGGUUAAGCCUUUGAGAUUU
rnacentral:lncRNA from 10 species